GAUGAACGCUGGCGGCGUGCCUAAUACAUGCAAGUCGAGCGAACAGACGAGGAUCUUGCUCCUCUGACGUUAGCGGCGGACGGGUGAGUAACACGUAGAUAACCUACCUAUAAGACUGGGAUAACUUCGGGAAACCGGAGCUAAUACCGGAUAAUAUAUUGAACCGCAUGGUUCAAUAGUGAAAGACGGUUUUGCUGUCACUUAUAGAUUGAUCCGCGCCGCAUUAGCUAGUUGGUAAAGUAACGGCUUACCAAGGCGACGAUGCGUAGCCGACGCGAGAGGGUGAACGGCCACUCUGAGAGUGAGACGCGGCCCAGACUCCUACGGAAGGCAGAAGUAGGGACUCGUCCGCACUGGGCGAAAGCCUGACGGAGCAACGCCGCGUGAGUGAUGAAGGUCUUCGGAUCGUAAAACUCUGUUAUUAGGGAAGACCAAAUGUGUAAGUAACUAUGCACGGCUUGACGGUACCUAAUCAGAAAGCCCCGGCUAACUACGUG
rnacentral:rRNA from 1 species